GUGCUCGCUUUGACAGCACAUAUACUAAAAUUGGAAUGAUACACAGAAGAUUAGCAUGGCCCCUGCACAAGGAUGACACAAAUUCGUGAAGCAUUCCAUAUUUUU